rnacentral:rRNA from 1 species
UCCCUUAGGUGUUCUGGGCCGCACGCGCGCUACACUGACGAUGGCAACGAGUUUUUCCUUCGCCGAAAGGUGUGGGUAAUCUUUUGAAACAUCGUCGUGCUGGGGAUAGAUCAUUGCAAUUUUUGAUCUUGAACGAGGAAUUCCUAGUAAGCGCGAGUCAUCAGCUCGCGUUGAUUACGUCCCUGCCCUUUGUACACACCGCCCGUCGCUACUACCGAUUGAAUGGUUUAGUGAGGACUCCUGAUUGGCGCCGCCGCCCCGGCAACGGAGCAGCGGACUGCCGAAAAGUUGUUCAAACUUGAUCAUUUAGAGGAAGUAAAAGUCGUAACA